rnacentral:lncRNA from 1 species
CUGAUUGGUUAGAAAGAUCAGCUUUAUUUAGUUUGUGAGAAGCUUUUAGCAUGUAGUGAAUUGCAGGAGUUAAGAAUUAUUUUUGAGGCUGGCUACCAUACCUCCUACAGAGACUACAGGGACUUAAAAAUUUUAAGGAUGCUCAUGAUCACUAGCCAACAUUUUUAAUCAAUGCAUUGAUGAAUUAAUUAUCUUCUGUUCUUGCUCAAGAGACAUACUCUUUUGACCACUCCUGGAAAAGACACAUCUCUGGGCUGACCAAAGAUCAUAAUCCAUCUCUGUGCAACAUGGAAGACAAGACACCUCUAAGAAAAAACAUGUAUCUCUCUAUUUGUGGCCAUCAAAAUCCAGUCCAUGCGUUUUUUGUAAAUGCGACUUCAUCUCCCAGUAUCAGAAGGAGUGAAAAUCCAGAACUUUUACUGAACUUGAAUUUCAAUGUGAACAGCAAGAUUUGAAUAGAAACACUUUACUUUG